rnacentral:tRNA from 1 species
GCCCGGUUGGUGGAAUUGGCAGACACGAAGGACUUAAAAAUCCUUUGGCCAUUGUGGCCGUGCCGGUUCGACCCCGGCUUCGGGUA